rnacentral:misc_RNA from 1 species
UGAUUGUGCCUUUCCUGCUUUAUUCAGCUUGAGAGGAAGUGGUAACUUAUCGCUCUUGAUUAAGGUGCUGAAGGUAUUUCUGGAUAAGGGAAAGCGUGUAUUAAGGAGGAUGCAGACAAUUACCAACAUCUUCCAGUCUACUCUUACCGUUAGGGAUAAGGCUAGCCUAGCUCUGUGAACCACAGUAGUGAAACUAGCAACAGGAAUAUGGGGUAUUGUAUUCCCUACUCCCUAACCACACAAAGUGUACAUGUAUUCAUGUAGUCUCAAAACGUAUUUGGUAGUGUACAAAAAUCCUAUUUGAGUUGAACUUCAAAUUUAAGAUCAAAAGUUUGAGGGCUAAAUUGUAAUAAUGGAGCUUUUGUUUGCUUGCAC